rnacentral:rRNA from 1 species
UUAAGGUGUGCCGCUAACUUCCAGAAAUCCGACUAACUGUAACAACGGUGUCUCACCCGCUGGUGUCUAGGCUUCGCUUGAGCUUCCGCCCGACCGUCGGAAGCAAUGAGAGCGGGCGGCGCUCCUGAGGGACGGCUUAUGCCCUAUGCUAACGCUUGGGCGUCUUCUGGCCCCCGGUUGAACGCAGACUUAAUGAACGUAGCAUUGUACGUUGCCAGCAAUCAAACACUUCCUAGUACUGUGUGUGAAUAUGUCCUUAUUUCCAGAAUGUGUGAACAUUAUGGAAUAAAAUACUACUCUUAGCGGUGGAUCACUCGGCUCGUGGAUCGAUGAAGAACGCAGCUAGCUGCGAUAACUAGUGCGAAUUGCAGACACAUUGAGCACUAAAAUUUCGAACGCACAUUGCGCCAUUGGGUUCAUUCCCAUUGGCACGUCUGGCUGAGGGUCGAAUUCAUUCAAAUACACGUACUGCCUGAACGUGUGAUGUCGAGGGACAGCGCAUAGAGAGCCGACUUGCUCUCUGGAAGCUCUCCUUCUGUAAGUUUGCACUGCAAGCGCGUCACUUUUGCAGCUCCUCUCGGGGCUCGAAAACGUUGCUGCGUGUACAUGCGCUUAUGCGAGGUUGCCGAGAUGCAGGCUUCCAGCAGUUGAACAUGCCUCAUAUGUCCAGCUGGAAGAUCACGCUAGUGCAUCUGCUUAUGGCAAUUUCGUGCAUGGAGUAUUGCACGCAAACCCUUAUCAUUUGACCU